GGGUUAAAAUAAAGUUGUGGUAGAUGGUGACACAUGUAAUGUUUCUUUUGUGGGAAGUUGCAGGAUCAUGGCUUCCAAAUUUUGGGAUGCACUAGAAGGUAUAACUAGAUAUAGAAAGUAAAGAUUGAAGGAAUAAUAAGUGUACUGUGUUCCUUUGACCUUUUUAUUUUUGAGGAUGAAGUUUAGGAAUUGGAGCAAGGGGUUUAUAAUUUUAUGAGCAGUUGCAGUUGUAAAUAUGAAUAAUUGAAUGCUUAAUAGAGG
rnacentral:lncRNA from 1 species